GACGAACGCUGGCGGCGUGCUUAACACAUGCAAGUCGAACGGAAAGGCCCUGCUUUUGUGGGGUGCUCGAGUGGCGAACGGGUGAGUAACACGUGAGUAACCUGCCCUUGACUUUGGGAUAACUUCAGGAAACUGGGGCUAAUACCGGAUAGGAGCUCCUGCUGCAUGGUGGGGGUUGGAAAGUUUCGGCGGUUGGGGAUGGACUCGCGGCUUAUCAGCUUGUUGGUGGGGUAGUGGCUUACCAAGGCUUUGACGGGUAGCCGGCCUGAGAGGGUGACCGGCCACAUUGGGACUGAGAUACGGCCCAGACUCCUACGGGAGGCAGCAGUGGGGAAUAUUGCACAAUGGGCGGAAGCCUGAUGCAGCAACGCCGCGUGCGGGAUGACGGCCUUCGGGUUGUAAACCGCUUUCGCCUGUGACGAAGCGUGAGUGACGGUAAUGGGUAAAGAAGCACCGGCUAACUACGUGCCAGCAGCCGCGGUGAUACGUAGGGUGCGAGCGUUGUCCGGAUUUAUUGGGCGUAAAGGGCUCGUAGGUGGUUGAUCGCGUCGGAAGUGUAAUCUUGGGGCUUAACCCUGAGCGUGCUUUCGAUACGGGUUGACUUGAGGAAGGUAGGGGAGAAUGGAAUUCCUGGUGGAGCGGUGGAAUGCGCAGAUAUCAGGAGGAACACCAGUGGCGAAGGCGGUUCUCUGGGCCUUUCCUGACGCUGAGGAGCGAAAGCGUGGGGAGCGAACAGGCUUAGAUACCCUGGUAGUCCACGCUGUAAACGGUGGGUACUAGGUGUGGGGUCCAUUCCACGGGUUCCGUGCCGUAGCUAACGCUUUAAGUACCCCGCCUGGGGAGUACGGCCGCAAGGCUAAAACUCAAAGGAAUUGACGGGGCCCCGCACAAGCGGCGGAGCAUGCGGAUUAAUUCGAUGCAACGCGUAGAACCUUACCUGGGUUUGACAUGGAUCGGGAGCGCUCAGAGAUGGGUGUGCCUCUUUUGGGGUCGGUUCACAGGUGGUGCAUGGCUGUCGUCAGCUCGUGUCGUGAGAUGUUGGGUUAAGUCCCGCAACGAGCGCAACCCUUGUUCACUGUUGCCAGCACGUUAUGGUGGGGACUCAGUGGAGACCGCCGGGGUCAACUCGGAGGAAGGUGGGGAUGACGUCAAGUCAUCAUGCCCCUCAUGUCCAGGGCUUCACGCAUGCUACAAUGGCUGGUACAGAGAGUGGCGAGCCUGUGAGGGUGAGCGAAUCUCGGAAAGCCGGUCUCAGUUCGGAUUGGGGUCUGCAACUCGACCUCAUGAAGUCGGAGUCGCUAGUAAUCGCAGAUCAGCAACGCUGCGGUGAAUACGUUCCCGGG
rnacentral:rRNA from 1 species